rnacentral:rRNA from 1 species
CCUACGGGAGGCAGCAGUGGGGAAUAUUGGACAAUGGGGGGAACCCUGAUCCAGCCAUGCCGCGUGUGUGAAGAAGGCCCUCGGGUUGUAAAGCACUUUCAGUGAGGAAGAACGCCUGGUGGUUAAUACCCAUCAGGAAAGACAUCACUCACAGAAGAAGCACCGGCUAACUCCGUGCCAGCAGCCGCGGUAAUACGGAGGGUGCGAGCGUUAAUCGGAAUUACUGGGCGUAAAGCGCGCGUAGGUGGCUUGAUAAGCCGGUUGUGAAAGCCCCGGGCUCAACCUGGGAACGGCAUCCGGAACUGUCAAGCUAGAGUGCAGGAGAGGAAGGUAGAAUUCCCGGUGUAGCGGUGAAAUGCGUAGAGAUCGGGAGGAAUACCAGUGGCGAAGGCGGCCUUCUGGACUGACACUGACACUGAGGUGCGAAAGCGUGGGUAGCAAACAGGAUUAGUACCCGAGUAGUC